CCGUACGAGCGCACCCCUAUCCCUAGUUGCUAGCAGUUCGGGCUGAGAACUCUAGGGAGACUGCCGGUGACAAACCGGAGGAAGGUGGGGAUGACGUCAGGUCAUCAUGGCCCUUACGGCCAGGGCUACACACGUGCUACAAUGGUGCGCACAGAGGGCUGCAAACCCGCGAGGGGGAGCUAAUCUCACAAAACGCAUCGUAGUCCGGAUCGGAGUCUGCAACUCGACUCCGUGAAGUCGGAAUCGCUAGUAAUCGUGAAUCAGAAUGUCACGGUGAAUACGUUCCCGGGCCUUGUACACACCGCCCGUCACACCAUGGGAGUGGAUUGCACCAGAAGUGGUUAGUCUAACCUUCGGGAGGACGAUCACCACGGUGUGGUUCAUGACUGGGGUGAAGUCGUAACAAGGUAGCCGUAGGGGAACCUGCGGCUGGAUCACCUCCUU
rnacentral:rRNA from 1 species